AACGAACGUUAGCGGCGCGCCUAACACAUGCAAGUCGAGCGAGAAAGGGAGCAAUCCCCGGUACAGCGGCGCACGGGUGAGUAACACGUAGGUAAUCUGCCUCCGAGUGGGGGGAUAACCUUCCGAAAGGAGGGCUAAUACCGCAUAAGACCACGCCUUCGAGGAGGGGGAGGGGUCAAAGCCGGCCACUAUACAUAAGCUGGCGCUUGGAGAUGAGCCUGCGGCCCAUCAGCUAGNGGUUAGGGUAAUGGCCUACCAAGGCAAAGACGGGUAGCUGGUCUGAGAGGAUGAUCAGCCACACUGGAACUGAGACACGGUCCAGACUCCUACGGGAGGCAGCAGUGGGGAAUCUUGCGCAAUGGGCGAAAAGCCUGACGCAGCGACGCCGCGUGGGUGAUGAAGGCC
rnacentral:rRNA from 1 species